CUCAUACCAAACGUGUGACCUUUUACAUUUAAAUAUCUUUUAUUCUAACUAACUCUAACACAUGUAUAAUUAACUAUCAACACUAAGCUAACACUAAUCAACUAUGUACAAACAUCAUUGCUUAUGUACAACUCUACACUUCACAUACUAAUUUCAACAUAUAUGUUCUCUAUAAUAGUACUUCACUAUAACAGUCAAAGUAUCGGAAAUAAACGAGGUUGUCGUUGUAGAGAAGUUUGAUUGUAUUUUACUUUUUCUAUUUUCAUUCUGAAUAUGCCUAUAGUUUUCUAGCUUUCCUUCGUCUUGUUUUAUGCUUAAAUAUACAUAAAUACUGCGAUUUGGACAUUUGCUGUUUAAUGCAAAAUGAUUUGUCAGGUAAUUAGUGAUUUAUUAUCUGAUAAACUUGCCUUAAAUUAGCUGCUUCACUUAAGACCCCUUUUUAUUAGUUGACAGUAGCCUCAUGGCAUCUCUGUCCUAUACUAAAAACAUUUUGGUUUGAUUUUCAUCUGUGUCUAUAAAAUGAAUAAGGUUGUUUUAGUUUUUUAAACGAUUCACUUAUCGGACGAAAGAAAAUCAAUACUAAUUUUUUAAGAGUUAAGUUGUGUGCGCUGAAAGUAUAUAAGUUUCUUACAUCAUCAUGUUAAGUUGAGCAAUAACAACGUAACAUGUCAACUGAAUAUUAAAAAAAGGGUUAAAUUAUUGAUUGUAGUGUAAUUUAUUUUUUUUUGCGCCGUUAAUAUACAUACCUUAAACCCAAUAUGAAUAGGUGUCUAUUCAUCUACCUCUAUAAAUGAUUUGAUUUCCUAGUAUAUAAAAGUAGGUGUUUUGGGUACAUUAGUGUAUCAAGAUCAGAAAUUUCAUGGAUUUGGUUUAUUAGGAUGAUAAAAUGCAUUAGCAUUCAAAUAUUACGACUUGGCAUGUUACAGAUAUUGAUAUCAAAUCGGAUAUUGAUCUCCCUAAUUGUUUAACGAUUUGGACAACCAAUUUUUUUCCUUUUCUAUUUAGCUAGCUCUUUCUUUUUUCACUUUGUUCUCGUUGGAUUUUUGAUUCACUUGGAUUAGUUUUGAUUUAAUGGGUGCAUGUGAUUCAUACACUUCACUUGUGUGUAAUAUUUGAGAGAACUCCAAAAAUAUGCAAAAUGCAUAUAUGAAGAACGACUUACAUCUGUUCUAAAAUGCGACUUAUAAAUCAUGUUAGGAAUGAGACUUAUUAUUGUUAUUAUUAUUAUGCAUAAUGGGAGUAGGAAUGCUAAUGCAUAUGAAAAUUGUAUACACACUAUGAAUGAGACUUAUACCUGAAUGUGAUUUAUAGAUCACAUCAAGUAUGCGACUUAUAAGUCUCGUUCUGCGAGUUAUAAGUCGCAUUUUACUUGCUGAUGGUACUUCUGAAAUUCCGACACUUAUUAAGCUCAGCCAAAGAAACUCCUGCACAUUAUAUUUGAACUUGGGAUUCGACUUCAUUAGUAUUUUAAACCAAAAAAUCCUCAGUGAUUUUUAAAAAGUUAAUAAUUCUGUGCCUGUAUCAGAGUUUAAAGAUAUUCCAAACUCGAAUUAAUGAGUAAGUUUAUCUACAUAUUACUAUUACCUCAAUCAAAUAUAUGCAUUUCGAACUCUGUGAACUGCUAAUAAUGAACACACUGAGAAUGAAAUGAACAGAUGCAUCGAAGAGGCUAAAAUUUCCAUGCUUAAGCAUUUGAAACACUCGGGAGGAUGUCAACAGACGCCAUGCGCGGAGUUCGGGAAAAGGCCGGACCACAAGGGUGUAUUGUACGCUUAAAAAUUAGAACCUUCUUAACUAAUAUUUGUGAGGACAAAUGGGGGUAAAUUGGUUUUGUGACUUUUUAUAAACUUGUUUUUAGUUUUAUGACCUUACUUCUUUUAUUUACACAUGGGAGAUUUACUUUUAUAUAUAAGAGAUAUGUCAUUACACAUAAAAGAUUUGAAAAGAUCAUUUUUUUAAUUUUAAAAUCAUAAAGGGGCAUGAUAUACAAAUAGCUCGGAAAAUUGGUUGUAAAGAUUAUACGUGCUUUUGGCUUAAAAAGUAAACAAACAAUAAACCAACAACAGACAAACAUGUGAAAGGCAACAGGUACUCGCUAGAAUAAUUAAGAUGCAUGCGAGUUAAGGGCGAGGAAGGGCCGCAUUGUAAAAGGUGUGAUAUAGGCAGCCUACUUUGAUGGUGAUUGGUUUCAUGGUUCGAACACGUGACCUAUAGGCAGGGGCGAAGUCACCUUUUAUAAAGGUUGGUCAACUGACCACCCUUCACCAAAAUAUUACAAAAAAUUACACUAUAUAUAAGUAAAAUAUUGAUUUUAGAUAUAUAAAAUAUAUAUUAAAUACCCUUAGUCAGGAAUUUUUUUUUAGUUCUUUCAAGUCUUAACACCCUUGGAAACAUUUCUGGCUUCGCCACUGCCUAUAGGUCACACAGAGACAUCUUUUCCGUUACUCCAAAAUUCCCAUCGUCACUAUUAUGAAAAAAUAAAAAAUAAAAAGGACUAGAAGAGUUCAAGAAACAAGUGUGAAUUUCACCAGUCAUUCAAACAUAAGUCUUAUUUUGCAUUCAAGGCUCAAAAAAAAAGUUUAUUUCAAUGAUGGUGGCUGUGUUCAUCAAAUCCAAGACACUGAAUGAAGAUAGAACAGAAAUAGCCGACUAGCAAACAAGGGCAGCAACAACAUGCCACUAAGGGAUCAUCAUCUGGCCUGUUUCCUUUAGCUCUGUAGCGAAGAUUGUAAUUAUAACCACCCAUCUUCUUGUUCCCCCUGAAUAAACAAAAGAACUAUUGAUUAUUCAUUAUUCUACGAGUUUAGUUAUAUGUUGUAAGAAAUUUUUACACUAUCACGUUACCUUACGGGUAACAUCUUUUGUUUUCAAUAUUUUAAAUUUCACAUUUUAAGAAGAUUUACCAGUAGAUAUUUUUUGAAUAAUUAGAUAGUAUAAAAAAUUCCUUACACUGACCAAUAUAUAUAACUUAAACUCAUAAUUAUCAUCAAUGAACAAAAGAUCAAAGAAAUCAACAAAUGAGCAUAUAACAUACCUUGUGAUAUGAGCUUCCUCUUUCUUUGCCUAAUUUCUUUGGAAAUCUUACUCUAUUUAAAUAAAGCAAAGAUUGAGAAUUACCUAUGGGGGGGGGGGGGCAGUUAUCAAAUGCUUAGCUGGUAGGAAUAUUGUUCCUAGUUGAACUGCAAAAUAAAAUGUGAGACUUGUUCUUUUGCAAGUAGUAGUUGAGCUAUUUUAACAUUUUGCAAUUUUGGCUAGCCUGGUUUUUAUUUUAUCCGUUAAAAACAGUCUAUUCCAAUUGGACUAAAUAAUAAGAAUAGCAUUCACAUGGGUGGUUGAGUUUGAAUUGGAAAUUAAAAAUUGC
rnacentral:lncRNA from 1 species